rfam:Ciona savignyi cont_24931, whole genome shotgun sequence.
GGCCGGUUAGCUCAGUUGGUUAGAGCGUCGUGCUAAUAACGCGAAUGUCGCGGGUUCGAUCCCCAUACUGGCCA